AGGGGAUGACGUCAAGUCAUCAUGGCCCUUACGCCCAGGGCUACACACGUGCUACAAUGGAGAGUACAAAGGGUUGCUACCUGGUAACAGGAUGCCAAUCUCAAAAAGCUCUUCUCAGUUCGGAUUGAGGUCUGCAACUCGACCUCAUGAAGGUGGAAUCGCUAGUAAUCGCGCAUCAGCAAUGGCGCGGUGAAUACGUUCCCGGACCUUGUACACACCGCCCGUCAAGCCAUGGGAGUUGGGUGGACCUGAAGAU
rnacentral:rRNA from 1 species